UGGACAUCAGAAGAGACAAACAACACGACAUCUGAAAACAACAAUCAAACUAAACCAGAAGGCUGGUGGAGGAUCAUCGUCGUGCCUCUGGGUUUAACAUCACUCAUAACAAGUGUUGUGGUGGUCAACAUAUGGGCAAGAGCUAAAGGGAACAAAACAGAGACGGAAGAAAACAUUGAGGAUGAUGAGGAAGAUGAAGGUACAGUGACCUAUGAAAACUCUGUCUGACUCCAC